CUUGUUUUUAAUGUUUGAAUAAACAAACAUGGAAAAAAAAAAAAAAAAUCUGUUCUUAUCAGCUUAAUAUCUGAUACGUCCUCAUUGGGGACUUCGAUAUUAAACUGAUUUUUUGAAACAUGACGGAGUGUUAGGGGCUUGCUCCACCUCUGUCACGGGUCGGCCUGGAAUUGCAGUACCUCCAGGAUUGGCCCACUCUCC